UGCUUUACACAUGCAAGUCGAACGGCAGCACGGGGGGGUAACUCUCUGGUGGCGAGUGGCGAACGGGUGAGUAAUACAUCGGAACGUGUCCUGUAGUGGGGGAUAACCCACCGAAAGGUGAGCUAAUACCGCAUACGAUCUCAGGAUGAAAGCGGGGGACCUUCGGGCCUCGCGCUAGAGGAGCGGCCGAUGUCCGAUUAGCUAGUUGGUGAGGUAAAGGCUCACCAAGGCGACGAUCGGUAGCUGGUCUGAGAGGAUGAUCAGCCACACUGGGACUGAGACACGGCCCAGACUCCUACGGGAGGCAGCAGUGGGGAAUUUUGGACAAUGGGGGCAACCCUGAUCCAGCAAUGCCGCGUGAGUGAAGAAGGCCUUCGGGUUGUAAAGCUC
rnacentral:rRNA from 1 species